rnacentral:rRNA from 1 species
AGUAAACGUUGGCGGCGUGUGUAACACAUGCAAGUCGAACGAUUCUUAGGUGGCUUGCCAUCUAAGAAGAGUGGCGAAUGGGUGAGUAACACGUGAGUAAUCUGCCCUCGAGUGAGGAAUAACUUCGCGAAAGCGGAGCUAAUACCGCAUAAUAUUCUGGAGAAUAAUCUUUCAGAAUUAAAGCCUUCGGGCGCUUGAGGAUGAGCUUGCGUCCUAUUAGCUUGUUGGUAGGGUAAUGGCCUACCAAGGCAAUGAUGGGUAGCCGGCCUGAGAGGGUGUACGGCCACACUGGGACUGCGACACGGCCCAGACUCCUACGGGAGGCAGCAGUGGAGAAUUUUGCGCAAUGGGCGAAAGCCUGACGCAGCGACGCCGCGUGGAGGAUGAAGGCCUUCGGGUUGUAAACUCCUGUCAGAGGAGAAGAAAACCCUUCGGGGUUUGACGGUAUCCUCAGAGGAAGCCCCGGCUAACUACGUGCCAGCAGCCGCGGUAAAACGUAGGGGGCAAACGUUGCUCGGAAUUACUGGGCGUAAAGGGUGCGUAGGUGGCUGAGAAAGUCGAAAAUGAAAUCCCGAGGCUUAACCUCGGAACUGUUUUCGAAACUACUUAGCUUGAGGAUAGUUGAGGAAAACGGAAUUCCCGGUGGAGCGGUGAAAUGCGUAGAUAUCGGGAGGAACACCUGAGGCGAAGGCGGUUUUCUGGACUAUUCCUGACACUGAGGUACGAAAGCUAGGGUAGCAAACGGGAUUAGAUACCCCGGUAGUCCUAGCUGUAAACGCUGGGCACUAGACGUUUCUAUUUUAUAUGGGAGUGUCGUAGUUAACGCGAUAAGUGCCCCGCCUGGGGACUACAGUCGCAAGGCUGAAACUCAAAGGAAUUGACGG